UACGGAGGGUGCAAGCGUUAUCCGGAUUUACUGGGUUUAAAGGGUGCGUAGGCGGGUUGUUAAGUCAGUGGUGAAAGAUUCGAGCUCAACUCGGAAACUGCCAUUGAUACUGAUAACCUUGAAUACAGUUGAGGUAGGCGGAAUGUGUCAUGUAGCGGUGAAAUGCUUAGAUAUGACACAGAACACCGAUUGCGAAGGCAGCUUGCUAAACUGUGAUUGACGCUCAUGCACGAAAGCGUGGGGAGCAAACAGG
rnacentral:rRNA from 1 species